rnacentral:rRNA from 1 species
AUUGAACGCUGGCGGCAUGCCUUACACAUGCAAGUCGAACGGUAACAGGUCUUCGGAUGCUGACGAGUGGCGAACGGGUGAGUAAUACAUCGGAACGUGCCUAGUAGUGGGGGGAUAACUACUCGAAAGAGUGGCUAAUACCGCAUGAGAUCUACGGAUGAAAGCAGGGGAUCGCAAGACCUUGUGCUACUAGAGCGGCCGAUGGCAGAUUAGGUAGUUGGUGGGAUAAAAGCUUACCAAGCCGACGAUCUGUAGCUGGUCUGAGAGGACGAUUAGCCCGACGGGGACUGAGACACGGCCCAGCCUCCUACGGGAGGCAGCAGUGGGGAAUUUUGGACAAUGGGCGAAAGCCUGAUCCAGCAAUGCCGCGUGCAGGAUGAAGGCCUUCGGGUUGUAAACUGCUUUUGUACGGAACGAAAAGCCCCGGGUUAAUACCCUGGGGUCAUGACGGUACCGUAAGAAUAAGCACCGACUAACUACGUGCCAGCAGCCGCGGUAA